rnacentral:sRNA from 1 species
GGGAUUGGGGUGAUGAGAGGGAGUGGGGCUGCCUGGAAUUUGCUUUUCAGGUCUUCACUCUCUUGUCUGCUCCUGGGACCUGGGCAGUGGGCAGCGAGGCACAGUGGGAGGGACCUAGGGAGGACCAGCCUCCCCCUCCUCAGGCUGAGGUGAGGGCUGGUGUGUCGGGGGUGAGAUCAGGCACUUUCCCUCCUCCCCAGGUCUCUGAUGCCACUGGACAGAUGAACCUGACCAAGGUGGCUGACUCCAGCCCCUUUGCCCUUGAACUGCUGAUAUCUGAUGACUGCUUUGUGCUGGACAACGGGCUCUGUGGCAAGAUCUAUAUCUGGAAGGGGCGAAAAGCGAAUGAGAAGGAGCGGCAGGCAGCCCUGCAGGUGGCCGAGGGCUUCAUCUCGCGCAUGCAGUAUGCCCCGAACACUCAGGUGGAGAUUCUGCCUCAGGGCCGUGAGAGUCCCAUCUUCAAGCAAUUUUUCAAGGACUGGAAAU